CUACGGGAGGCUGCAGCUAAGAAUCUUCCGCAAUGGACGAAAGUCUGACGGAGCGACGCCGCGUGAACGAAGAAGGCCUAACGGUUGUAAAGUUCUUUUCUUGUGGAGGAAUAAUGGUAGUAGGGAAUGACUAUCAGAUGACGUUAAACAAGGAAUAAGCCCCGGCUAAUUACGUGCCAGCAGCCGCGGUAACACGGUAAGGGGCAAGCGUUGUUCGGAUUCAUUGGGCGUAAAGGGCGUGUAGGCGGCAUGGCAAGUAUGGUGUGAACUAUCCCGGCUCAACCGGGAAACCGCGCUGGAAACUGCCAAGCUAGAGUAUAGGAAGGGAAGCUAGAAUUCCAGGUGUAGGGGUGAAAUCUGUAGAUAUCUGGAAGAAUACCGGUGGCGAAGGCGAGCUUCUGGCCAUAUACUGACGCUGAGACGCGAAAGCGUGGGGAGCGAACAGGAUUAGAUACCCGGGUAGUC
rnacentral:rRNA from 1 species